rnacentral:tRNA from 1 species
GCGCCUCUGGCCUAAUGGAUAAGGCGUCUGACAUCUAAUGAGACGAUUGUGGGUUCGAGUCCCACCAGAUGUG